CCACACACAAAAAUGUAAUCAAGUAGUCAUAGAAGCAUCAUUCAUAACAGAUGACAAAUGGAAACAAUCCCAUAUAUCUUUCAACUUACAAUUAGAAGAACUGUGGUAUAGCCAUGCAAUGAAAGAUUAUUUGGCUAUAAAAAGAAAGUGCUGCCAAAAUUUAACUCAAAAUGGAUCAAGGACCUAGGAAUUACACCAGAGACUCCGUGUCUAAAUAGAAGAAAAAGUAGUUCCUAAUCUUCAUCAUAUGGGAUUAGGCCCCAACUUCCUUAAUAAGACUCCUAUAGCGCAAGAAUUAAAACCAAGAAUCAAUAAAUGAGAUGGAAUCAAACUAAAAAGUUUCUUCUCAGCAAAAGAAACAAUCUGUGAGGUGAACAGAGAGCCUACAUCCUGAGAGCAAAUUUUUACCCCUCACAUAUCAGAGCACUAAUCCCUAGGAUAUGUAAAGAACUCAAAAAGCUAAGCACCAAAAAAACAAAUGACCCAAUCAAUAAACGGGUCAAGGACCUGAACAGACACUUCUCAGAAGAGGAUAUACAAUCAAUCAACAAAUAUAUGAAAAAAUGAUCAUCAUUAGCAAUCAGAGAUGCAAAUCAAAACUACUCUAAGAUAUUAUCUCACUCCAGUCAGAAUGGCAGCUAUUAUGAAGACAAACAACAAUAAGUGUUGGUGAGGAUGUAGCUGGUGGGACUACAGAUUGGUACAGCCAAUAUGAAAGCAGUAUGGAGAUUCCUUGGAAAUCUGGGAAUGGAAUAACCAUUUGACCCAGCUAUCCCUCUCCUCGGACUAUACCCAAAGGACUUAAAAACAAC
rnacentral:lncRNA from 1 species